GACGAACGCUGGCGGCGUGCUUAACACAUGCAAGUCGAACGGUGAAAGCGGAGCUUGCUCCGCUGGGUCAGUGGCGAACGGGUGAGUAACACGUCGGCAACCUCCCCCUCACUUCGGGAGAACUACGGGAAACCGGGGCUAAUACCGGCUAUGACCUCCUUGGGCACCCUUGGCGGUGGAAAGUUUGUCGGUGAGGGAUGGGCCCGCGGCCUAUCAGCUUGUUGGUGAGGUAGUGGCGCACCAAGGCGACGACGGGUAGCCGGCCUGGGAGGGCGACCGGCCUCACUGGGACUGAGACACGGCCCAGACUCCUACGGGAGGCAGCAGUAGGGAAUCUUCCGCAAUGGACGAAAGUCUGACGGAGCAACGCCGCGUGAGUGAUGAAGGCUUUCGGGUCGUAAAACUCUGUUGUUAGGGAAGAACAAGUGCUAGUUGAAUAAGCUGGCACCUUGACGGUACCUAACCAGAAAGCCACGGCUAACUACGUGCCAGCAGCCGCUGUAA
rnacentral:rRNA from 1 species